GCUAACGCGUUAAGUAGACCGCCUGGGGAGUACGGCCGCAAGGUUAAAACUCAAAUGAAUUGACGGGGGCCCGCACAAGCGGUGGAGCAUGUGGUUUAAUUCGAUGCAACGCGAAGAACCUUACCUGGUCUUGACAUCCACAGAAGAAUCCAGAGAUGGAUUUGUGCCUUCGGGAACUGUGAGACAGGUGCUGCAUGGCUGUCGUCAGCUCGUGUUGUGAAAUGUUGGGUUAAGUCCCGCAACGAGCGCAACCCUUAUCCUUUGUUGCCAGCGGUUAGGCCGGGAACUCAAAGGAGACUGCCAGUGAUAAACUGGAGGAAGGUGGGGAUGA
rnacentral:rRNA from 1 species